UGUUUGCUAAACAAGGUAAGACAGG
rnacentral:piRNA from 1 species